GACGAACGCUGGCGGCGUGCCUAAUACAUGCAAGUUGAGCGCUGAAGGUUGGUACUUGUACCAACUGGAUGAGCAGCGAACGGGUGAGUAACGCGUGGGGAAUCUGCCUUUGAGCGGGGGACAACAUUUGGAAACGAAUGCUAAUACCGCAUAAAAACUUUAAACACAAGUUUUAAGUUUGAAAGAUGCAAUUGCAUCACUCAAAGAUGAUCCCGCGUUGUAUUAGCUAGUUGGUGAGGUAAAGGCUCACCAAGGCGAUGAUACAUAGCCGACCUGAGAGGGUUAUCGGCCACAAUGGGACUGAGACACGGCCCAAACUCCUACGGGAGGCAGCAGUAGGGAAUCUUCGGCAAUGGACGAAAGUCUGACCGAGCAACGCCGCGUGAGUGAAGAAGGUUUUCGGAUCGUAAAACUCUGUUGGUAGGGAAGAACGUUGGUGAGAGUGGAAAGCUCAUCAAGUGACGGUAACUACCCAGAAAGGGACGGCUAACUACGUG
rnacentral:rRNA from 1 species